UACGUAGGGUGCGAGCGUUGUCCGGAAUUAUUGGGCGUAAAGAGCUCGUAGGCGGUCUGUCGCGUCGGUCGUGAAAACUUGGGGCUUAACCCUGAGCUUGCGGUCGAUACGGGCAUGACUGGAGUUCGGCAGGGGAGACUGGAAUUCCUGGUGUAGCGGUGAAAUGCGCAGAUAUCAGGAGGAACACCAAUAGCGAAGGCAGCUCGCUGGGACGUGACUGACGCUGAGACGCGAAAGCGUGGGGAGCAAACAGG
rnacentral:rRNA from 1 species